AUCCAGCUGACCAGUCCCAAAUAGGACGAAGUGUCACGCCUCCUGGAU
rfam:Schistosoma mansoni strain Puerto Rico chromosome 6, complete genome